GACGAACGCUGGCGGCGUGCCUAAUACAUGCAAGUUGAGCGCUGAAGGUUGGUACUUGUACCAACUGGAUGAGCAGCGAACGGGUGAGUAACGCGUGGGGAAUCUGCCUUUGAGCGGGGGACAACAUUUGGAAACGAAUGCUAAUACCGCAUAAAAACUUUAAACACAAGUUUUAAGUUUGAAAGAUGCAAUUGCAUCACUCAAAGAUGAUCCCGCGUUGUAUUAGCUAGUUGGUGAGGUAAAGGCUCACCAAGGCGAUGAUACAUAGCCGACCUGAGAGGGUGAUCGGCCACAUUGGGACUGAGACACGGCCCAAACUCCUACGGGAGGCAGCAGUAGGGAAUCUUCGGCAACGGACGAAAGUCUGACCGAGCAACGCCGCGUGAGUGAAGAAGGUUUUCGGAUCGUAAAACUCUGUUGGUAGAGAAGAACGUUGGUGAGAGUGGAAAGCUCAUCAAGUGACGGUAACUACCCAGAAAGGGACGGCUAACUACGUG
rnacentral:rRNA from 1 species